rnacentral:rRNA from 1 species
CCUACGGGCGGCUGCAGUAGGGAAUAUUGCUCAAUGGGGGAAACCCUGAAGCAGCAACGCCGCGUGGAGGAUGAAGGUUUUCGGAUUGUUAACUCCUUUUGUUAGAGAAGAUAAUGACGGUAUCUAACGAAUAAGCACCGGCUAACUCCGUGCCAGCAGCCGCCGUAAUACGGAGGGUGCAAGCGUUACUCGGAAUCACUGGGCGUAAAGAGCGCGUAGGCGGGAUAGCAAGUCAGAUGUGAAAUCCUAUGGCUUAACCAUAGAACUGCAUUUGAAACUGGUAUUCUAGAGUAUGCGAGAGGUAGGUGGAAUGCUUGGUGUAGGGGUAAAAUCCAUAGAGAUCAAGAAGAAUACUCAUUGCGAAGGCGACCUGCUAGAACAUAACUGACGCUGAGGCGCGAAAGCGUGGGUAGCAAACAGGAUUAGAUACCCCGGUAGUC